AGUGAACGCCGGCGAUAGGCCUAACACAUGCAAGUCGAACGGCAGCACAGUAAGAGCUUGCUCUUACGGGUGGCGAGUGGCGGGCGGGUGAGGAAUACAUCGGAAUCUACUUUUUCGUGGGGGAUAACGUAGGGAAACUUACGCUAAUACCGCAUACGACCUACGGGUGAAAGCAGGGGAUCUUCGGACCUUGCGCGAUUGAAUGAGCCGAUGUCGGAUUAGCUAGUUGGCGGGGUAAAGGCCCACCAAGGCGACGAUCCGUAGCUGGUCUGAGAGGAUGAUCAGCCACACUGGAACUGAGACACGGUCCAGACUCCUACGAGAGGCAGCAGUGGGGAAUAUUGGACAAUGGGCGCAGGCCUGAUCCAGCCAUACCGCGUGGGUGAAGAAGGCCUUCGGGUUGUAAAGCCCUUUUGUUGGGAAAGAAAAGCAGCAGGUUAAUACCCCGCUGUUCUGACGGUACCCAAAGAAUAAGCACCGGCUAACUUCGUG
rnacentral:rRNA from 1 species